UACGAAGGGAGCUAGCGUUGUUCGGAAUCACUGGGCGUAAAGCGCACGUAGGCGGAUUUGUCAGUCAGGGGUGAAAUCCCGGGGCUCAACCUCGGAACUGCGUCUGAUACUGGAUGGCUUGAGUUCGGGAGAGGGAUGCGGAAUUCCAGGUGUAGCGGUGAAAUGCGUAGAUAUCUGGAGGAACACCGGUGGCGAAGGCGGCAUCCUGGACCGACACUGACACUGAGGAGCGAAAGCCAGGGGAGCAAACGGG
rnacentral:rRNA from 1 species